GAAGUGGGUUUACUCGGGUCGGAAACGAAGAAAGAACUUGUACAGCAGUCUCCGGUUGGAGCGGGUCGGCCCCCGUUUGUCAUUGUCAAGAACUUACCAUAAGCAACGGGUUUAUAACAUCAGCAAAUAUUUUGGCAACCUUCCCGGCGCCCGUUGGUACUACAGUUGCGUAUACGUGUUAUACACAAUAUAAGUUAACUGAUGGAACAACCUCAAGGACGUGUAGAAAUGAGACUGGAUGGGACGGAAAAGCACCCACAUGUGUGGAAGAUUGUGGGAAUUUAACGGCUCCCAUAAAUGGUAGGGUGACGUAUACAAAUACAAUUCUAAACAGCAUUGCCACGUUUGAUUGUAUCUCUGAGCACUACAAGAUCGUUGGUUCUUCGACGUUAAA